rnacentral:rRNA from 1 species
CCUACGGGGUGCAGCAGUGGGGAAUAUUGGACAAUGGGGGGAACCCUGAUCCAGCGACGCCGCGUGAGUGAAGAAGUAUUUCGGUAUGUACAGCUCUAUCAGCAGGGAAGAAAAUGACGGUACCUGACUAAGAAGCCCCGGCUAACUACGUGCCAGCCGCCGCGGUAAUACGUAGGGGGCAAGCGUUAUCCGGAUUUACUGGGUGUACAGGGAGCGUAGACGGUGCAGCAAGUCUGAUGUGAAAGGGCGGGGCCCAACCCCGGGACUGCAUUGGAAACUGUUGAACGGGAGUACAGGCGAAGUAAGCGGAAUUCCUAGUGUAGCGGUGAAAGGCGUAGAUAUUAGGAGGAACACCAGGGGCGAAGGCGGCUUACUGGACUGUAACUGACGUUGAGGCUCGAAAGCGUGGGGAGCAAACAGGAUUAGAUACCCGAGUAGUC